rnacentral:rRNA from 1 species
UACGGAAGGGGCAAGCGUUGUUCGGAAUCAUUGGGCGUAAAGGGCGCGUAGGUGGUUCUGUAUGUCUACCGUGAAAGCAUACAGCUCAACUGUAUUUUGUCGGUAGAAACUGCAGGACUUGAGGCUGGGAGGGGGCUGGUGGAAUUCCCUGUGUAGCGGUGAAAUGCGUAGAGAUGGGGGAGAACACUCGUGGCGAAGGCGGCCAGCUGGACCAGUUCUGACACUGAGGCGCGACAGCGUGGGGAGCAAACAGG